GUUUUUGAUCUAAUAGGUGCGGCCCCUGAAGGGGGGCCACUGAAGGGGUGGAUGGCUUCUCCAUAUGGCCUACGGAAAGAGAAUUGGUUGAAACAGACAGGCUUUGGCCUCUCCUAGCCAUGGGACCUUGGGUUGUUACUCUCCAAGACAUUAUCGCAACGAGAAUCCGUGUACUGCGGAGUGAUCUGUCGGAGCCGCUUAGAGGGACCGAUGAGAGGAUUGGAACCGGGCCCGGGCCCAGCCUUGUGAAAACCUUUUUCUGGAAUGCCUAUGAGGGGACUACAGAUGGACAGACAAGCUGAAGAGAGUAAUGAGUUUACUCCAGACCCUGGAGGUUUUAACUUGGAGAUGCCCAGGCACCUGUUUGCCUGCAUGCCUGAGGAAUGUUACCAAGCCCAGCAAGAGAAGAGCUACUUCCCCCUCUCACUCUAAAAAAGAGUGGAUCUUUCUUUGGGGCCACUUCCUGUCCCAGUGUCUGUGUCCGCAACUGCUGGAUCUCUCCUUCCCAUCCUACUGCAUCAGCUCUGCCGCCUCUGAAACCAGUAUUUCGAGUCAGAGCCUCAGAGGGAGAGGUGGGCUUUGAAGCCAAAUGGCUCUGGUUCGGUUUCUGACUCUGUCACUGUAUGACUGUGGGGCCAUUGGACCUCGGUUUUCUCACCUCCA
rnacentral:lncRNA from 12 species